UACGUAGGCAGCGAGCGUUGUUCGGAAUUACUGGGCGUAAAGAGUGUGUAGGCGGUGUUCCCAGUCUGUUGUGAAAUCUCCCGGCUUAACUGGGAGGGUGCAGCGGAAACUAGAAUGCUAGAGGGUGGGAGAGGUAAGCGGAAUUCCUGGUGUAGCGGUGAAAUGCGCAGAUAUCAGGAGGAACACCAAUGGCGAAGGCAGCUCGCUGGGACGGUACUGACGCUGAGGCGCGAAAGCGUGGGGAGCAAACAGG
rnacentral:rRNA from 1 species